rnacentral:rRNA from 1 species
AUACGGAGGGUGCAAGCGUUAAUCGGAAUUACUGGGCGUAAAGCGUACGUAGGCGGUUCGUUAAGUUAGAUGUGAAAGCCCCGGGCUUAACCUGGGAACUGCAUUUAAAACUGGCGGACUAGAGUUGAGUAGAGGGGAGUGGAAUUUCAGGUGUAGCGGUGAAAUGCGUAGAGAUCUGAAGGAACACCAGUGGCGAAGGCGACUCCCUGGACUCGAACUGACGCUGAGGUACGAAAGCGUGGGUAGCAAACGGGAUUAGAAACCCUGUAGUCC